GUCUAUUAUGAUGAUAUUUAUAGUCUAGCCUGCUCAGUGACAUAGAGAUGUUAAAUAGCCGCGGUAUUCUGACCGUGCAAAGGGUAGCAUAAUCAUUAGUUUCUUAAUUGGGAACUGGAAUGAAUGGUCAAACAAAGAAAGAACUGUCUUUUUCAUUAAAAUUGAAAUUAACUUCCAAGUGAAAAGGCUUGGAUUUACUAAGGGGACGAUAAGACCCUAUAAAGCUUUAUAAGUUUAGGAAUUUUAAAUAUUUUGUAGAUAAAUUUAUUUUCCAAUAUCUUAUUUGGUUGGGGCGACAAAGGUAUAAUUAUGAAUAACUGCUAUUAUUAACAAUACAUCUAUCGUUGGCUAAAAUUUAUAAUAAUUGAUCCUUUUUAGAGAUUAAAAGAUCAAGUUACUUUAGGGAUAACAGCAUAAUUUUUCCUGAGAGUUCUUAUCAAAGGAGAAGUUUGUGACCUCGAUGUUGAAUUAAAAUGUCUUUAUAGUGCAGCAGCUA
rnacentral:rRNA from 1 species